CGAUGAACCACUUCGGUGGGGAUUAGUGGCGAACGGGUGAGUAACACGUGGGCAAUCUGCCCUGCACUCUGGGACAAGCCCUGGAAACGGGGUCUAAUACCGGAUACUGAUCCUCGCAGGCAUCUGCGAGGUUCGAAAGCUCCGGCGGUGCAGGAUGAGCCCGCGGCCUAUCAGCUAGUUGGUGAGGUAACGGCUCACCAAGGCGACGACGGGUAGCCGGCCUGAGAGGGCGACCGGCCACACUGGGACUGAGACACGGCCCAGACUCCUACGGGAGGCAGCAGUGGGGAAUAUUGCACAAUGGGCGAAAGCCUGAUGCAGCGACGCCGCGUGAGGGAUGACGGCCUUCGGGUUGUAAACCUCUUUCAGCAGGGAAGAAGCGAAAGUGACGGUACCUGCAGAAGAAGCGCCGGCUAACUACGUGCCAGCAGCCGCGGUAAUACGUAGGGCGCAAGCGUUGUCCGGAAUUAUUGGGCGUAAAGAGCUCGUAGGCGGCUUGUCACGUCGGUUGUGAAAGCCCGGGGCUUAACCCCGGGUCUGCAGUCGAUACGGGCAGGCUAGAGUUCGGUAGGGGAGAUCGGAAUUCCUGGUGUAGCGGUGAAAUGCGCAGAUAUCAGGAGGAACACCGGUGGCGAAGGCGGAUCUCUGGGCCGAUACUGACGCUGAGGAGCGAAAGCGUGGGGAGCGAACAGGAUUAGAUACCCUGGUAGUCCACGCCGUAAACGGUGGGCACUAGGUGUGGGCAACAUUCCACGUUGUCCGUGCCGCAGCUAACGCAUUAAGUGCCCCGCCUGGGGAGUA
rnacentral:rRNA from 1 species